UACGUAGGGGGCAAGCGUUGUCCGGAAUCAUGGGGCGUAAAGCGCGUGUAGGCGGCUCGAUAAGUCUGCUGUGAAAGUCCAGGGCUCAACCCUGGGAUGCCGGUGGAUACUGUCGAGCUCGAGUCCGGAAGAGGCGAGUGGAAUUCCUGGUGUAGCGGUGAAAUGCGCAGAUAUCAGGAGGAACACCAAUGGCGAAGGCAGCUCGCUGGGACGUGACUGACGCUGAGACGCGAAAGCGUGGGGAGCAAACAGG
rnacentral:rRNA from 1 species